GUGAACGCUGGCGGUAGGCCUAACACAUGCAAGUCGCACGGCAGCACAGGAGAGCUUGCUCUCUGGGUGGCGAGUGGCGGACGGGUGAGGAAUACAUCGGAAUCUGCCCAGUCGUGGGGGAUAACGUAGGGAAACUUACGCUAAUACCGCAUACGACCUUCGGGUGAAAGAGGGGGAUCGCAAGACCUCUCGCGAUUGGAUGAGCCGAUGUCGGAUUAGCUAGUUGGCGGGGUAAUGGCCCACCAAGGCGACGAUCCGUAGCUGGUCUGAGAGGAUGAUCAGCCACACUGGAACUGAGACACGGUCCAGACUCCUACGGGAGGCAGCAGUGGGGAAUAUUGGACAAUGGGCGCAAGCCUGAUCCAGCCAUACCGCGUGGGUGAAGAAGGCCUUCGGGUUGUAAAGCCCUUUUGUUGGGAAAGAAAUCUUUCAGGCUAAUACCCUGGGAGGAUGACGGUACCCAAAGAAUAAGCACCGGCUAACUUCGUG
rnacentral:rRNA from 1 species